rnacentral:rRNA from 1 species
AUUGAAAUGGGGGCACCCUGAUCCAGCCAUCCCGCGUGCAGGAAGAAGGCCUUCGGGUUUCNAACUGCUUUCGGACAGAAAGAAAUCGUUCGCUCUAACAUAGCGGAUGGAUGACGNUACUGUAAGAAGAAGCACCGGCUAACUCCGUGCCAGCAGCCGCGGUAAUACGUAGGGUGCGAGCGUUGUUCGGAAUCAUUGGGCGUAAAGGGCGUGUAGGCGGUCGGGUAAGUCAGAUGUGAAAGCCCUGGGCUCAACCCAGGAAGUGCAUUUGAAACUACCUGACUUGAGUAUGGGAGAGGGAAGCGGAAUUCCUGGUGUAGCGGUGAAAUGCGUAGAUAUCAGGAGGAACACCGGUGGCGAAGGCGGCUUCCUGGACCAAUACUGACGCUGAGGCGCGAAGGCGUGGGGAGCAAACAGGAUUAGAUACCCUGGUAGUCCACGCAGUAAACUGUGAACACUAGGUGUAGCGGGUAUUGACCCCUGCUGUGCCGAAGCUAACGCAUUAAGUGUUCCGCCUGGGAAGUACGGCCGCAAGGUUAAAACUCAAAAGAAUUGACGGA